GACGAACGCUGGCGGCGUGCUUAACACAUGCAAGUCGAACGGAAAGGCCUGCUUUCCCUUGUGGAUUGCGGGUACUCGAGUGGCGAACGGGUGAGUAACACGUGAGUGAUCUGCCCCCAACUUGGGUAUAAGCCUGGGAAACUGGGUCUAAUUCCCGAUAGGACUGCAGGGUGGUGCCUGUGGUGGAAAACGAUUUUCUAGUGGUUGGGGAUGAGCUCGCGGCCUAUCAGCUUGUUGGUGGGGUAAUGGCCUACCAAGGCGGCGACGGGUAGCCGGCCUGAGAGGGUGGACGGCGACAUUGGGACUGGGAUACGUCCCAGACGCCUACGGGAAGCAGCAGAGGGGAAGAUAGCACAAUGGGCGGAAGCCUGAUGCAGCGACUGCGCGUGGGGGAUGACGGCCUUCGGGUAGUAAACUCCUUUCGACCGCGAGGAAGCCACCUGGUUGGAAGGGUGGUGACGGUAGUGGUAGAAGAAGCACCGGCUAACUACGUG
rnacentral:rRNA from 1 species